CAAAUAUAUAAGAGAAGAGCGAUGUGGCUGUACUCCAAAAACUGGGAGCUGUGGCUGUGAACCCAGCAAGGGUAGAGAAAAACAGUCUGCCUGACACAGAACCUAGGAAGCAGUCUACCUGACACAGAACCUAGGAAGCCGUUUCAUCUGUGCUUGAAAUCCAUUUGUAAAUUGUUGUCUCCCUGUGCCUGUCCAUCACUCAAGGUAUGGGUGGCCAGCAAGCAACACCUGCAGUCCUCUGGACACGCACACUGCUCCUCCUCCUGCCGAUGUCCUCUGCGGUUCAGCUCAUGCUAAGAGUCUCUGGGGAUCAGUCAGACAAAGAUGUUGGUACUCUGCUGGGGAGUUUUCUGCCUACGUUUCUUUGAGUUCCUCCAGUCAAGCUACUGUUUAUUUGGGCUUAACAACCAACACUCUAGAUUUGCCCCAACAACUGCCAUGUGCCCAUCCCACAUUUUCUCCUGCAUUCAGGCUGACCAGCAGGACUGCCAUACCAGACUCAGCCUUUGUUGGUCACCAAUUGUGGAUGGUGCUCCUGAUGUGUUGACAUCAACUUCUUUUGCCAUGGCAUGCUCCUGUCCCUGAGGCACCAAUGUGAAUUCCCAGUUGUUUUUCACUGGGCCCCAUCUUCUAGUUAGGAAGGCCUGGGGACUUCCCUGGGUGUAUUUUCUUCC